UAGCGUAGGGUGCGAGCGUUAAUCGGAAUUACUGGGCGUAAAGCGUGCGUCAGGCGGUUUUGUAAGUCUGACAUGAAAUCCCCGGGCUCAACCUGGGAAUUGCGUUGGAGACUGCAAGGCUGGAGUCUGGCAGAGGGGGGUAGAAUUCCACGUGUAGCAGUGAAAUGCGUAGAGAUGUGGAGGAACACCGAUGGCGAAGGCAGCCCCCUGGGUCAAGACUGACGCUCAUGCACGAAAGCGUGGGGAGCAACAGG
rnacentral:rRNA from 1 species